rnacentral:misc_RNA from 1 species
GAUGAAGAACGUAGCGAAAUGCGAUACUUGGUGUGAAUUGCAGAAUCCCGUGAACCAUCGAGUCUUUGAACGCAAGUUGCGCCUCAAGCCAUUAGGUUGAGGGCACGUCUGCCUGGGCGUCACAUAUCGUUGCCUGAUGCCAGUUUCCUCGUGAUGGGUGACUGUGCAGGGCGAAUGAUGGCUUCCCGUGAGCAUUGUUGCCUCAUGGUUGGUUGAAAAUUGAGUCCUUGGUAGGGAGCGCCGUGAUAGAUGGUGGUUGAGUGACGAACGAGACCCAAUCAUGUGAGACCCCUACCGAAUUUGGCCUUCAUGACCCACAUGCGUCUUUGGAACGCUCAUGACGAGACCUCAGGUCAGGCGGGGCUACCCGCUGAGUUUAAGCAUAUCAACAAGCGGAGGA